rnacentral:misc_RNA from 1 species
CCGCACAAGCACACACGCACAUCAAACAACGAAACGUAAAGCGAAUAAGAGAAGCCAGAAAACAAAGGCGGUAUAAGCAGCAGCAGCACGCGCGUGCCUCCCCCUUCCCUCCGCCCUCUGUGUGUCUGUCUUUCUCUGUACCUACUCGACAGCUCAGGUGCUUCGUCCAUACACUGCCUUCCGGCUUCGCCGUUUGUGUGUGUGUGAGCCCCUCCCUUCCUCCCUCCCUCUCCGCUCUCUCCGUGUGUGUGUGUGUGUGCGACUGCCCGCUGUGUAGAGGCGCUUCAUCGCGUUCUCCACGGCCGUGCGUCGUGGGGAGGAGGGGUAUCAUCGGCUGUUUCGUUUCUUGUGGUUUCCGCGCCUCCGACCCUCGUUCACAUACACAGCCACACCUCGCCUUUUUUUCACAGAGCACAUCUCCGUUGACGACCACGUAGGGUCCUUCACCCACCCAUCACACACACACACACACACACACACACAUUCAUCACAGAGAGAGACGGGAAGUGACCUCGACGCUGCUGCGUAGUUCAAACUGCCGGCGCCGUCUGGCACCCGCCCUCUCUCCAAAUCUCCUUCCACCGGUCGCGUCAGAAUGUGGCGUAGCUCCUCCCUUUACCAUCAGUUCACGAGCAGGGUGGUCACCGUGUAUCACCUACCGGCCGCCGUUGCGGCCGUUGAGGACAACACUGCUGGGCGACUGGCGCGCUCUCGGCUGAUCUCGGUCGCACCAUCAGGGCUGCCUUCAUUCGCGGAGUACCGCCUUUCGUGCCACAGCGGCGGUGGUAGCCGCAGUAGCAGCAUGGCGUCGGCAGCAAUGGUGGCGUCUGCGCUGCGCACGGCUCGCCGCUACCAGUCGCAGAGCAGCCGCGUGCGACCAUCGCUGCAGUGGCAGGACGGCCAGGUGGACCCGCGCUUCUCGUCGGAGGGUAACAUGCGUCGGCUGAACCCAGAGACGAUGCCGCACUUUGUAAAGGCGACCAUCCAGAAGGAUCGACGCGAGAUGGGGCUGGGCGAGGUGUUCGACUGGGUGGACUUCGCGAAAGACGCCAUCUACAUCCCGACCCGGUCUGGCCCGCUCUGGGUCGGCAGCGACGACCCGCGCGCGUCGAAGUUUGUGCGGCGGCGGGAGAAGAUGAAGCGGCAGCCGCUGCAGCGGACGCGGCAGAAGCCAGGGACGGACCAAGCCAAGGCGCUCGAGGACCAUCCCCUCCGCGAGUACUUCACGACACCGUCCAACCUGCACGACCCAAUGAGCGUCGCAACGGGCCUGCACCGUGCCGGGAUGAUCCGCGAAUAUGACAUCAAGCACACAGCGUCGAAGAUCGAAUACUUGCCACGGCCGCCGAUCGUGUCUAUAAUGGGCCAUGUCGACCAUGGCAAGACGACGCUGCUGGAUCACCUGCGCCACACGAACGUGGCGGCGGGAGAGGCGGGCGGCAUCACACAGAAUGUUGGCGCCUUUCAGGUGAAGACGCCAGACGGGCACAUCAUCACCUUCAUCGACACACCCGGCCACGCCGCCUUCACGGCGAUGCGAGAGGUCGGCGCCACGACAAACGACUUGAUCGUCCUCAUCGUCUCCGCCGUGGACGGGGUGCAGCCGCAGACACGCGAGGUCAUCGAGCUGGCGCAGCGCAAAGGCACGCCGAUGGUGGUCGCCGUUACAAAGAUCGACCGGCAGCCCGACUGCGACUACGUGAAGGACCAGCUGGUCGCAAAUGGCGUGGAGCUGGAGGAGAAGGGCGGCGACGUGCAGCUCGUCAAGAUCUGCGCCAAAGAUGGCCGCGGCAUCCCUGAGCUGCUCGAGGCACUGCAUCUGCAGGCGGAACUGUGCGAGGUGGCGACGCCCACCCCGUCUCGCGCCGAGCUGUACGUUCUGGAGUCGCGCAACUUGGGCGUCAGCGAGGUGGCGGCGGUUGUGCGCUGCGGCACGGUGAAGCCCGGGCAGGUCUUUGUCACAGGCACCGUCUACGGUACGGUGAAGCGGAUCCUGGACGACCACGGCGCCACGCUCGACGAGGCGAGGCCGUCGAUACCGGUCGUGCUGCACGGCUUUCGUGUGCCGCCGAAGCCAGGGUCGGUGAUGAUGCAGGUGAGCAGCGAGAAGCACGCCGAAAAGUUCAGCUACUUCAUGCGUGAAGUGUACACCGUCGAGGGCAACCGUGAGAACUACUUGCAGAUUCUCAACCAAGAACGACAGGGUCUCAUUCACGGCCGGAAGCCGGACAACAAUAUAGUGCGCGCAUACAGCACCCAGGCGUUCAUCCUCUCCUGUAAGGCCGCCACGUUCGGAAUGCUGCAGGCGUUGCUAAAGACCAUCUACGAGUUGCCGCGACUCGAGGGUGUCUCUCUGGACAUCCGCAUCACCGAGGUUGGUGGGCUGAAGGACUCGGACCUGAUCCUGACGGGAUCGUCCGGCCAGCCCGGCUGCGUCCUGCUCUUCGGCGACUGCAAGGACUCCUUCUCUCUAGACGUACCAGUCAACGUGCGGGUGUUGCGGUUCAACGUGUUGUACCACGGCAUCGAUGAGCUGAAGCAGGUGCUCGUCGACUCCCUGCCAAAGGUGAAGAAGACGCGCAUCAUGGCGACAGCGGAGUGCCUGCAGACCUUCAAGGCCUCCCAGGCAGGUCGAACCGGUAAUGCCGGUGGCAUGAGGGUCACAAGGGGCACGCUCGACGCGGCCCACCUUACCUUUCGCGUGUUGCGGCGACCGCAGGACUUGAAGGCAAGGCUGGCAGCGGCAGCGAGCGGCACCAAGAUGAGCCCGUCCGGCGGCGACGCCGCAGCCGCGGCUGACGACGGGGCGCGGGAGGUUGUGUACGAGGGCCAGCUGAAGGAGCUGCGCCGCUUCAAAGAACUUGUACCGACCGUAGAGACGGGCCUGGAGUGUGGCGUCGUGUUGCACGACGACUUCAGCUUCCGCGUCGGGGACGUGCUGGAGCAGGUUGAGGAGUACGAGGAGAGCCGCGACGUCGACGAGGAGUACGAGGCAGCGGAGAGGCGCGAGAAGAUUCUGCGCGAGACGGCCGAGAUGCAGGCGCGCAUGGAGGAGGCGGAGCGGAAGGCCGUCGUGGAGGCAGUGGGCAGCACAGAGCUGCAUGAGAAGCUAAAGGCCGUGACCAAUUAGAGCUGCACGUGGGCUCGGGAUGGGGUGGGAGAGGAAGGCUGAUGUGAGCAGCCAAGGGGUCGACGACGACGAAGGGCAUCUCAUGAGCGAGCGAGGUGCACACAUGCCUGUUUCGCUUCCAUCCCUUUCGUGCACGCAGUUGUGGUGGCGUUGACUUCUCGUUCAGCGAAGGCGCGCGCGGUGGCGUGGAUGGUCGGUUGCGCGCUUUCACCAUCGCAGCCAGCCCCCGCUGGUUUCGUCUCCCUCCCGUCUCGCUCUUGUGCUGACAUACACGAAGACGCAGUCCACAUGUCCAUGCGGAUCUUCUUGUCCUUCCUUGGUGCUUCUCCCCCUUGAAUGCGCGCGGGUGGGUGCUUGUGCGGGUGCGCCCCACCGCUGUGCCGUCGUGCGCGCGCUGUCGCGCCGCCUUCUCGUCGUCACUCUCGCUCUCUCCCCCCUUAAUCUCUUACAGAUCGCUUCGAGUGCUUUCACGUUCUCUCAUGGGCGUUUGUGUGUGCUGGCGGGUGCGUGCGGUCCUUCUCUCGCCACUCGACUGCGUUUCCCGACACUCCUCGGUGUCCUUGCUGAGAUGCUAAACACUUACAGAUUCAAGCUC